rnacentral:rRNA from 1 species
UCCGUAGGUGAACCUGCGGAAGGAUCAUUAAUGAAUUCACUAUGGGGUUGUUGCUGGCCUCUAGGGGCAUGUGCACGCUUCACUAGUCUUUCAACCACCUGUGAACUUUUGAUAGAUCUGUGAAGUCGUCCUUCAAGUCGUCAGACUUGGUUUGCUGGGAUUUAAACGUCUCGGUGUGACAACGCAGUCUAUUUACUUAACACACCCCAAAUGUAUGUCUACGAAUGUCAUUUAAUGGGCCUUGUGCCUAUAAACCAUAAUACAACUUUCAACAACGGAUCUCUUGGCUCUCGCAUCGAUGAAGGACGCAGCGAAAUGCGAUAAGUAAUGUGAAUUGCAGAAUUCAGUGAAUCAUCGAAUCCUUGAACGCAGCUUGCGCUCUCUGGUAUUCCGGAGAGCAUGCCUGUUUCAGUGUCAUGAAAUCUCAACCACUAGGGUUUCCUAAUGGAUUGGAUUUGGGCGUCUGCGAUCUCUGAUCGCUCGCCUUAAAAGAGUUAGCAAGUUUGACAUUAAUGUCUGGUGUAAUAAGUUUCACUGGGUCCAUUGUGUUGAAGCGUGCUUCUAAUCGUCCGCAAGGACAAUUACUUUGGCUCUGGCCUGAAAUCAGGUAGGACUACCCGCUGAACUUAAGCAUAUCAAUAAGCGGAGGA